GAUCUAAUUCGCAUUUUGCAACAUUGUUGCCAAGGUUGGAGUGGCAAACAGCAAGGUUCAUACAAACCUGUGCUGUUGCUAACUAAAUGCUUGCUAGAAGCAAGAGGAAAUAAUGAGUGUAAUAAAAGCAUACCCUCUUAGAUAAUAAUUUUAAAAAAGGGUUGUUCUAUAUAGAACCUUUUGGUAAAUUCAUAUUUUAACUGCCAUUCUGAUUCAAAAACCAACUGCCAUUCCAGCAUGAGGACACAAGAGGACCUUGGUUGAACUUGCAAAUAGCCUACCAAUAAGCAUGUUGUUUUUCAAUUUAUUAAGUAUUUCAGUGGAUGACUGUUGCUGACCUUCGUUGAAUGCAGGUGAUGGGCAGUGGGCUGACUGAGAGGAGGAACCAGCCAGGCAACAACCCAUACUGUACUGUUCCAUAAAGAAGUCAGUCAGAGUUGGUCAUCAUUCAAACAAAGAGAUGCCUCCCUGGCAUAUUUCCAAACUGUGUUUGCAUACAAUGACAAUAAAAUCAAAAAACUG